UACGGAGGGUGCAAGCGUUAUCCGGAUUUAUUGGGUUUAACGGGUCCGUAGGCGGAUCUGUAAGUCAGUGGUGAAAUCUCACAGCUUAACUGUGAAACUGCCAUUGAUACUGCAGGUCUUGAGUGUUAUUGAAGUAGCUGGAAUAAGUAGUGUAGCGGUGAAAUGCAUAGAUAUUACUUAGAACACCAAUUGCGAAGGCAGGUUACUAAGCAACAACUGACGCUGAUGGACGAAAGCGUGGGGAGCGAACAGG
rnacentral:rRNA from 1 species